GGGAUGCUCUGUGCCCCCAUCUCCGCCUUAGGGAAGCGCUCGGCCCGCCGGGGCAGCUCCAGCCCCUCUCAGAGGGGGCAUGGGAAGGAAAGAAGGGGUACGAGCUUCUUCUGUAGGAAGAAAAUGUUUUAAAAAGUUUGACUCCAACAUUCUGCCAAGCCUUGAAACAGAGGAAAUAUCUGGACAACAUGAAUUUGGGAUGAUUUGGUGGCUCUGAUCUGCAGCAACUUUUCAGUCACACAGCUACAGAAAAUGAGGCAAAUCACAAGGCUGUGACAUUCCAGUUUAAUUCUACAGUGAGUACAUACUUCCACCCAUGUAAUCCUGAAACUGUUACCUUGA
rnacentral:lncRNA from 1 species